GGAUAUUUAGCUCAGUGGUAGAGCGCUUGCCUAGCAAGCGCAAGGCCCUGGGUUCGGUCCCCAGCUCCG
rfam:Rattus norvegicus chromosome 6, whole genome shotgun sequence.